GAUAAACCGACACUUUCCCAACCGCUUCACCACCCCUCAGCGACUUCCGCUUCCGGCGACUCCAUGGGGAAACUGAAGCCCUAGAGGAAAAGAAGACUAAAUGUAUUACCAUCUGACCCACUUCCUGGCCAGCCUGUUCACCUGUCUGCUGUUCUUCAUUGAACAAGAGAAGGAAUCACAAUUGGUCCAUGACAGUCACGGUCAUCUCAUUCCUCUUGCCAGUGGCAGGUGUAUGUGUGAGUUUGCAGCUCAAUCCUGGCCAAGGGGAUCCAAGGACUGCUGAAGAGGCAUGUCUGCACAUGUCACCUAGAACAUCUCCAGCCAUCAUGUGAUCUCUGGGGGAGGCAUUCCCAACUCUCUGAGAGAAGCAGACCAGAAAGAUGGAAAGAAAGCACCUGGCUCCAGGAUGAUGACAUUGAGCCGAUGAAUUAACCACCUUUGUGCUGCUCUAACCUUCAGAGUUCACCUUAACAUGAGAAAAUAAAACCCUUAUUGCUU
rnacentral:lncRNA from 1 species